AGGGAUACUUAUCGAUGUUUAUUCAACUCCCAAACCCUAUGUGAACUUACCACUUGUUGCUUCGGCGCGCGCUUCGGCGCCGCCGAGGACACUUAAACUCUUUGUUUUUAUAAGCAUUUCUGAGUGGCCGAAAGGCAAAAAUACAAAUGAAUCAAAACUUUCAACAACGGAUCUCUUGGUUCUGGCAUCGAUGAAGAACGCAGCGAAAUGCGAUAAGUAAUGUGAAUUGCAGAAUUCAGUGAAUCAUCGAAUCUUUGAACGCACAUUGCGCCCGCCAGCAUUCUGGCGGGCAUGCCUGUUCGAGCGUCAUUUCAACCCUCGAGCCCGACUCUUCGGAGGACGGCUCGGCGUUGGGGGACGGCAGACUCCCCCCGGCAUCUCGCCGGGGACGCCGCCCCCGAAAUUUAGUGGCGGCCCUCCGAGGCGACCUCUGCGUAGUAACUUGUUCUCGCACCGGAAAGCUCAGAGCGGCCACGCCGUAAAACCCCAACUUUUUUUAGGUUGACCUCGAAUCCAGGUAGGACUACCCGCUGAACUUAAGCAUAUC
rnacentral:rRNA from 1 species